rnacentral:rRNA from 1 species
UACAGAGGAGCCAAGCGUUGUCCGGAUUGACUGGGCGUAAAGCGCACGCAGGCGGGUGCGCGCGUGGGGUGUGAAAUCUGGCCGCUUAACGGCCAGGCGCCAUCCCAUACGGCGCGCCUGGAGGGCUGCAGAGGUCGAUGGAAUUGCCGGUGUAGUGGUGAAAUGCGUAGAGAUCGGCAGGAACACCCAGGGGGAAACCAGUCGACUGGGCAGCACCUGACGCUGAGGUGCGAGAGCGUGGGGAGCGAACCGGAUUAGAGUACC